GACGAACGCUGGCGGCGUGCUUAACACAUGCAAGUCGAACGGUGAUGCUCCAGCUUGCUGGCGUGGAUCAGUGGCGAACGGGUGAGUAACACGUGAGCAACCUGCCCCAGACUCUGGAAUAAGCGCUGGAAACGGCGUCUAAUACUGGAUACGAAACUGGCCCGCAUGGGCAUGGUUUGGAAAGUUUUUCGGUUUGGGAUGGGCUCGCGGCCUAUCAGCUUGUUGGUGAGGUAAUGGCUCACCAAGGCGACGACGGGUAGCCGGCCUGAGAGGGCGACCGGCCACACUGGGACUGAGACAGGGCCCAGACUCCUACGGGAGGCAGCAGUGGGGAAUAUUGCACAAUGGGCGAAAGCCUGAUGCAGCGACGCCGCGUGAGGGAUGACGGCCUUCGGGUUGUAAACCUCUUUCAGCAGGGAAGAAGCGAAAGUGACGGUACCUGCAGAAGAAGCACCGGCUAACUACGUG
rnacentral:rRNA from 1 species